rnacentral:rRNA from 1 species
CCUACGGGAGGCAGCAGUGGGGAAUAUUGGACAAUGGGCGCAAGCCUGAUCCAGCCAUGCCGCGUGUGUGAAGAAGGCCUGAGGGUUGUAAAGCACUUUCAGUAGGGAGGAGGGUUGAUAGGUUAAGAGCUAAUUGACUGGACGUUACCUACAGAAGAAGCACCGGCUAACUCCGUGCCAGCAGCCGCGGUAAU